CGGGGAAUCUUGCGCAAUGGGCGAAAGCCUGACGCAGCAACGCCGCGUGGGGGAUGAAGGCCCUCGGGUUGUAAACCCCUUUCAGCAGGGACGAAAUUGACGGUACCUGCAGAAGAAGCCCCGGCCAACUACGUGCCAGCAGCCGCGGUAAUACGUAGGGGGCAAGCGUUGUCCGGAUUUAUUGGGCGUAAAGGGCGCGUAGGCGGCUUGGCAAGUCGGGUGUGAAAUCUCCAGGCUCAACCUGGAGUCGCCACCCGAUACUGCCAUGGCUAGAGUCCGGUAGGGGACCACGGAAUCUCUGGUGUAGCGGUGAAAUGCGCAGAUAUCAGAGGGAACACCGGUGGCGAAGGCGGUGGUCUGGGCCGGAACUGACGCUGAUGCGCGAAAGCGUGGGGAGCGAACAG
rnacentral:rRNA from 1 species